CAAGCCAGGAUCUAGGAUCAGUUUUUAUUUACAUUAAAAAUUUAUUUGUGCGACUCAAAUUGGUUUGA
rnacentral:tRNA from 1 species